UUUUGGACAAUGGGCGAAAGCCUGAUCCAGCAAUGCCGCGUGCAGGAAGAAGGCCUUCGGGUUGUAAACUGCUUUUGUACGGAACGAAACGGUCCUUUCUAAUAAAGAGGGCUAAUGACGGUACCGUAAGAAUAAGCACCGGCUAACUACGUGCCAGCAGCCGCGGUAAUACGUAGGGUGCGAGCGUUAAUCGGAAUUACUGGGCGUAAAGCGUGCGCAGGCGGUUCUAUAAGACAGAUGUGAAAUCCCCGGGCUCAACCUGGGAAUGGCAUUUGUGACUGUAGAGCUAGAGUACGGUAGAGGGGGGUGGAAUUCCGCGUGUAGCAGUGAAAUGCGUAGAUAUGCGGAGGAACACCGAUGGCGAAGGCAAUCCCCUGACCUGUACUGACGCUCAUGCACGAAA
rnacentral:rRNA from 1 species